GCGGGUAUAAUUUAGUGGCUAGAAUAUCAUGCUUCCGACCUGAUUGCGCGAGUUCGAUUCUCGCUACCCGCUCCA
rnacentral:tRNA from 2 species